rnacentral:rRNA from 1 species
UACGGAGGGGGCUAGCGUUGUUCGGAAUCACUGGGCGUAAAGCGCACGUAGGCGGACCAUUAAGUCGGGGGUGAAAUCCCGGGGCUCAACCCCGGAACUGCCUUCGAUACUGGCGGUCUGGAGGUCGAGAGAGGCGAGUGGAAUUCCGAGUGUAGAGGUGAAAUUCGUAGAUAUUCGGAGGAACACCAGUGGCGAAGGCGGCUCGCUGGCUCGAUACUGACGCUGAGGUGAGAAAGCGUGGGGAGCGAACAGG